rnacentral:rRNA from 1 species
ACGUAGGGGGCUAGCGUUAUCCGGAUUUACUGGGCGUAAAGGGUGCGUAGGCGGUCUUUCAAGUCAGGAGUGAAAGGCUACGGCUCAACCGUAGUAAGCGCUUGAAACUGGGAGACUUGAGUGCAGGAGAGGAGAGUGGAAUUCCUAGUGUAGCGGUGAAAUGCGUAGAUAUUAGGAGGAACACCAGUUGCGAAGGCGGCUCUCUGGACUGUAACUGACGCUGAGGC